GGGGAAGAGGGUUAGACCAAAAAGGGAGACAUGUGUCAGGUGCACCACCGGUGCAGUAUAAUGACAUCUGAAUCCUGCCAACUCGUGGGGGAAGAGGUUAAACCAGAAAGGGUCAGGUGCCACCACCGGUGCAGUAUAAUGACCUCUGAAUCCUGCCAACUUGUUCUUUUUAAAGAUUUUUUUUUUUUUUGGUCAAAAUUACUUUCCAAAGAAUAUACUAUUUAAGAGUGCCAGGAAUAAGCUAGCCUCGGAGGAACUAUCAUAACAGCUUCAUUGAAUAACGUGC
rnacentral:lncRNA from 1 species